UUGAAACGCCUGUUCUUAUACGAUCAUCGACGUUAAGCAACGUUCAGCCUGAUCAGUAUUUUGAUGGAUGACCGCCUGGGAAUGUCAGGUGUU